AAUCAAUUAUUCUUAUAGUCACAUUCACCUCGUAAAAUAUGUUUUACGAGCAUUAAAAAUUACAGAUUUGAAUAAUGGUAACAUAAAGUAGAUUAGAAAAAAUGUACAAAAAGCGAUGGCAUGAGCAUUUGUCAAGCAUUUACGAAUAUUGAACAGUAGUUAGAACCUCGGGAGAAGAAACAUGGUGAAUAAUAUCCGAUAUUCUCUCUUGUUCAUUUCUUUUAUUUUAAUAUCGACAUAUUUUUUAACAAUCGAUGCAAUACAUCGUGGGUGUAAUUGUAGAAGGCCACUGGGUAAAAAAUGCAAGGGCAUGUGUGAAAGACGCGGCUAAAGAAAUCGCAUAAAAAAGUUAAGAAAUUUAUAGAACACUAUGAAUACUCAACGUAAUUUCGAUAAUGCGUGAAAAUAAACUAUAUGAGAAUCUUUGAAACGUGUAGUUUAAUCAAUCGCCACUAAAAUCAUUUUCCUAAUAUUUCAAUAAUUCAUUUCGUCUAUUUUCUUUUUAAAACGUUCAAACACAUGGCACGGAGGUAAGAUAAAUGUAAAAGUUAUGAAGGCAUCGAUCAAAUUUUUACUCGCCGCGAGAGAAAAUGUAGAUUUCUUCGUAACAUUUAACAUUUCAUAAUCUAACACGCAUGCCAUUCGGACGAAU